ACCACUUAAAAGAAGGUGUAUAUAUGCUAUAUAAUAUAUUUCAAUUAUAUGGUUUUGAGUUUUAAAGUUGCAUGGCUUGGUUAAAGUAGCAGGGGUCAAAGCUCAUAUGCAGCCAUGCGGCUGUGGUCAUGCUGGAGCACUACCAUGGAAAAAAUAAUUGCUGCGGUCAUUGGAUUGCGGCCAUGCUAGAGCACUGCCUUGAAAAAUUUUAGUUGAACACACAGACCAUUGAACACAAUUUUUUUAAAGCCUGGUACUUAUUCUAUCAGUCUCUUUUGCUGAACUGCCAAGUUACGGGUAGGUAUAUAUACCAACAAUGAUUGUCAAGUGGUGGGGACAAACAUAGACACAAAGACAUAAACACACACACACACACACAAUGGACUUCCUUCAGUUUCUAUCUACUAAAUCCACUCUGGUUGGCCUAAGGCUAUAGAAGAAAUCACUUGCCUAUGGUGCCACACAGUGAAACUGGUUGGGAAGCAAGCUUCUUACCAUACAGUCACAAAAAUACACAGCAACAUUGGGCAUCCUUUUAUAUGUAUUUUUUGCAAAUAUAAACAUUUAUACUAAUAUUCACUGAAAAUAUUUCCUUUGAAUACUUUGAUAUGAAUCUAAUUGGUACCUCACUGCCACCACCACCACCAUCAUCAUUUCAAUGCCUGCUUUCCAUGCUUGAAUAGGUCAAACAAAAUUUGUGUCAAGCAGAUUAAGUCUGGCCUGAUAUAUACCAACCUCAUCACCGACCCUUCAUCUGUUUGCAAGCAAGGGAGCAUUUCCUCAUGACCAGACAUUUUUACAGAAGACCAGAAAUGAAAGACUCUGCCUGUAUGUCCAUUUAUAACUAUCCUGCAACCUUAAGACAAGGUGACACAAACACACAGAUACAUACAUAUUUAGUUUCUGUGUACGGAAUUCACUCACAAAGGUUUGGUUGGCCCAGGGCUAUAAUGAAAGCCAGUUGCCCAAAGAACCACACAGUGGGAUUGAACCUCAAACCAACUGGUUGGGAAGCGAACUUCUUAACCAUACGGCCAUCCCUGCCAAAUUACUAUAUAUAUGGCUUAUAUGAUCUAAACAUAGAGGAAUUUUCCUUAAACUUAGGAAAAAAUUUCAAUAUUGAAUUUAAGUAUAUAACAACAAAACAUCUAAAUAACUGACAAUAUUUGGUAUUUUUUAUUAACUGUUUUUCUUUUAAAUAUCAAAAUGAGAUAUAUUUAAGUUUAAAUCAUAAAAAUAAACAAAAUAAUACGUCAUACACACAUACAAAUAUACAUACGUACAUACAUAAUACAUGCAUACAUACAUAUAUACUUGCAUGCAUACACACACAAACAUGCAUACACACACAAAUAUGCAUACAUAUAUACAGAUAUCCAACAGAAAAUGAAUUAACAGUGGAACUGCUUGUUAGAGAACAAUUUUAAGACAAUUGUUUGUUUUUUUUUGUAAAAAGAUAAAAUACAUUGAUACAAAUUUCAACAAAUCCUUCUUUUAAUUCUGCUGAAGAGUGUUUAAAAUAAAGCUUAUUUGUAAUAAACAUGGCAAUUACUGACUCAAAUGAAGGAUUUGAAGAAAUAACAAUCAAUAUUAAAUUCCAAGAAAGGAAAUUAAAAAUGUCCAAGGAAAUUAUAAGACUGUUAUUGUGAAUGUGUGUGUGUGUGUGUGUGUGUGUGUGUGAGAUAGGUAAUG